rnacentral:rRNA from 1 species
CCCUUAGAUGUUCUGGGCCGCACGCGCGCUACACUGACGAAUUCAACGAGCUUAUAACCUUGGCCGAAAGGUCUAGGUAAUCUCCAAAAUUCGUCGUGAUGGGGAUAGAUUAUUGCAAUUAUUAAUCUUCAACGAGGAAUGCCUAGUAAGCGCAAGUCAUCAGCUUGCGUUGAUUACGUCCCUGCCCUUUGUACACACCGCCCGUCGCUCCUACCGAUUGAAUGGUCCGGUGAAGCCUCCGGAUUGGCGCGCACCUCGGUGCCGCCGAGAAGUUGGCUAAACCUUACCAUUUAGAGGAAGGUGAAGUCGUAACA